UACGUGGGGGGCGAGCGUUGUCCGGAAUCAUUGGGCGUAAAGCGCGUGUAGGCGGUUCAGUAAGUCUGCUGUGAAAGUCCAGGGCUCAACCCUGGGAUGCCGGUGGAUACUGCUGAACUAGAGUGCGGAAGAGGCGAGUGGAAUUCCCGGUGUAGCGGUGAAAUGCGCAGAUAUCGGGAGGAACACCAAUUGCGAAGGCAGCUCGCUGGGACGUUACUGACGCUGAGACGCGAAAGCGUGGGGAGCAAACAGG
rnacentral:rRNA from 1 species